rnacentral:ncRNA from 1 species
AAGAGCUGAAUGCGGGAAAACCGCACGUUCAGUUCUGUGAGGGGCGCAUGUGAAAGCAUAUCGUCUACUCGAC